rnacentral:rRNA from 1 species
UACGUAGGUGGCAAGCGUUGUCCGGAUUUACUGGGCGUAAAGGAUGCGUAGGCGGACAUUUUAAGUCAGAUGUGAAAUACCCGAGCUUAACUUUGGGUGCUGCAUUUGAAACUGGGUGUCUAGAGUGCAGGAGAGGUAAGUGAAUUCCUAGUGUGCGGUGAAAUGCGUAGAGAGUUAGGAAGAACAUCCAGCUGGCGAAGGC